AGCAGCCGCGGUAAUUCCAGCUCCAAUAGCGUAUAUUAAAGUUGUUGCAGUUAAAAAGCUCGUAGUUGAAUUUCGGGAUUGGCGCAUCGGUCGUGCCUCACGGGGUAUGAACUGGUGCAGUCAAUUUCUCACCUUCUGGAGAACCGCGAUGUCCUUAAUUGGAUGCCGCGGGGAACCAGGACCUUUACUUUGAAAAAAUUAGAGUGUUUAAAGCAGGCAUUUUUGCUUGAAUACAUUAGCAUGGAAUAAUAAAAUAGGACGGCAUGGUUCUAUUUUGUUGGUUUCUAGGACCACCGUAAUGAUUAAUAGGGAUAGUUGGGGGCAUUAGUAUUCAAUUGUCAGAGGUGAAAUUCUUGGAUUUUAUUGAAGACUAACUACUGCGAAAGCAUUUGCCAAGGAUGUUUUCAUUAAUCAAGAACGAAAGUUAGGGGAUCGAAGACGAUCAGAUACCGUCGUAGUCUUAACCAUAAACUAUGCCGACUAGGAAUCAGACGAUGUUAAUUUUUAA
rnacentral:misc_RNA from 1 species